UAUUCGGAUUUAUUGGGCGUAAAGAGCUCGUAGGCGGUUCAACAAGUCGGGUGUUAAACCCCCAGGCUCAACCUGGGGCCGCCACUCGAAACUGUUGUGACUAGAGUUUGGUAGGGGAUCACGGAAUUCCUGGUGUAGCGGUGGAAUGCGCAGAUAUCAGGAGGAACACCAGUAGCGAAGGCGGUGAUCUGGGCCAAUACUGACGCUGAGGAGCGAAAGCGUGGGGAGCGAACAGGAUUAGAUACCCUGGUAGUCCACGCCGUAAACGGUGGGCACUAGGUGUGGGGACUUUUCAACGGUUUCCGCGCCGCAGCUAACGCAUUAAGUGCCCCGCCUGGGGAGUACGGUCGCAAGACUAAAACUCAAAGAAAUUGACGGGGGCCCGCACAAGCAGCGGAGCAUGUGGCUUAAUUCGAUGCAACGCGAAAAACCUUACCUAGAUUUGACAUGCUGGGAAAAGCCACAGAGAUGUGGUGUCCUUCGGGGCCCAGCACAGGUGGUGCAUGGCUGUCGUCAGCUCGUGUCGUGAGAUGUUGGGUUAAGUCCCGCAACGAGCGCAACCCUUGUUCUAUGUUGCCAGCACGUAAUGGUGGGGACUCGUAGAAGACUGCCGGGGUCAACUCGGAGGAAGGUGGGGACGACGUCAAGUCAUCAUGCCCCUUACGUCUAGGGCUGCACACAUGCUACAAUGGGCGGUACAGAGGGCUGCUAAACCGCGAGGUGGAGCCAAUCCCUAAAACCGCUCUCAGUUCAGAUUGCAGGCUGCAACUCGCCUGCAUGAAGUUGGAGUUGCUAGUAAUCCCGGAUCAGCACUGCCGGGGUGAUACGUUCC
rnacentral:rRNA from 1 species